rnacentral:sRNA from 1 species
CAAGUGCACAUUCUCUGCUGCCAACAGUACCAAUUUGUCCUCCAAGCAACAAAUAUUCCUUGGUAGUCUACUAUCAGAUGACAGUUUUCUUUUUGGCAUUUUUAUGAAUUGGGGCUUUCAAGGCCAAAAUUUGCUUAGCAUAUUCGUGUACUACAUAUCAACAAAUGUUAGAUGGUCUGCCUGGUUCAUCUCUUAACACUAUGAAGAUGGCUACACAAAUCUUAACAAGCAAACAUUCUGUUGCCAACAGUACCAAUUUGUCAUCAUAUCCAAGCAACUACUAUUCCUUGUGCAUUUUUCUUGACUUAAUGGUCAAUGAAACAUGAGGUCAAGGAAAAAGGAUGAACAUUUCAAGGCUAGAAGAGGAACAUUAAACGUCUCUCACUGUGAAAAGAUUCUACCGAUCUACAUAUGAUCAACAUGUUUUAUCUUAAGUUCAUCUGCCAUUUCUUCAAAUGGAGCCAUAGUCAGAAUAAGAUUCUUUUUGUUCUUCCUGAGGUUCAAAUGUAUCAGUUGUUUUUGUUGACAGACAUCAAGUUUGUCUACCAGCAGUCAACAACAACAACGACUAAAUUAAAUAAAGCCAUGUCUAUUUCUACAUCAGUUUGUUGCUAUUAACCUGUUGUUACUAACAACUAACUUGAAAUGGGAGAGAUUUUCAUCAUUUUUUCCUGAAGUCAUUUCAGUUCUCAAUUAUUUUGUGCAACAAUUUACAAGAACAAAUUCGACCGAGAGAGGUCACUACACUAAGACUUUGCCUACUCAUAAGAUGGCUGCCUGGUCAUGUUGUAUGUGCGCUGGACUGUUCUCCUGAUGCUCAUAUCUUGCCUGAUGACAUUUAUUCUGGUGGACAUUUGGUCAAGGAAGUAGAUUCUCUUCAGCUCUCAGGGAACAUUCAAAACGUGUCAAACAUUUGACAAGAAUAUCAAGCAAGUGCAGUGUACGUUGAACAUCUUGAGAAGUAAAACAAUUCCUAGAGGCAAAAACACAAACACAGUGGAUACAUUAAGAGAUUGUUUCCUUUUCUACCAUCAUUUAGAGCCUUCCUUGUGCUCUAAGGGAACCUGCCAUUAUCCUUUGAUUGCUAAUUGGCGUUGAUUUUACAUUCCUACUGCAUCUGAAAGAAAUGAACAUUUCCCUAAUACUACUUCAAAACCAGACCUUCUCAAGACAAUCUUAGUGACCAAGCUGCAAUACAGGACCCAGUAGGAAACAAUGAAGAAUCCUCCCAACCUCAGGUUGAGUACCCAUGCUCACCUACUAGAGUGGCAACACAUACUUCUCCUACACCCACAGUUGACAUUCUGAACCCUGUAACCCAACCUCAUAACAUGGUUACAUUACAAGAAGUGGUCCUGAAGUUAAGAAAACUAAAAGAUACAAUGAAUAGAACAAUCAUUUCUAAUACAGGUACAGCUAGUCAAGUGAUGUACUUUGUAAGAACUAAUUAGUUGGAAUUACCAUAAUAGACUUGUAUCUUGUUCUAUAUUUAGGUAUAUAUUGACAAUCAGUCCAGUCAUUUGUUCUUUUUAUUUUUUAAAUAUUCCUUUUAUCCCCCAAUCUUCUUGUUGUUUCAGUUAAAUUUAUCUUUUUUUGUUUUUGGAGGUGGGAGGGGCUGUGGUAUAUUAUCAUUAUUAUUAUUGGAGUCACAACACCAAAGCCUUGCUACAUUAUGCUUUUAUUUCAAUUUAUUAUCUCCCCUGCUUUUGUGUGCUAUAAUAUAAAUAGUCAUUAGUCGCAUGUCUUUGCACAAUUUGUUCUAUGCUUUUUAGAGUGUAAAUAGUGACUUGACAUUAUUUAGAUCAACUAUAAUAUGUUAAGUUUUAACAUUUUCUACGCUGUUAUUAAUAUGAAUGUUUUGCUUGUGUUGCUAUGAAUGCAGUUUUGAGUUUUAGUCCAAAAUCAUAGAUGAGAAAUUUUCCAUACAUAAAGAUCUAUUAAUAUUUACUAUUUAGUAUUGACUAUAUUACUAUGUACUAAAGCAUUCAUUUUAUCCCUUUAGCCUGUUUAAAACUUUCAAAUACUAAUUCACUUUGUCUUAUCUAAUGGUGUUCAUGGGGUAUCCACUUUGUCAUCUCCAUAGUCUCUGGUAUGAACACUCACUGUCCUGGUGGGGGGCUAGGGCUAGGAUGUAAUUUCUGUUUCUGAUGGAACACAUGAAAAACCAACCAAACAAACAGUAGGCCUGGACUUAAUUAUCAGGGCAUGCAAACAUUUUGUAUAAUUGUGAACUUGAGCUCCCAGAGCUAUUUUUAUGUAUUGUUAUUUUUACUACUUUUGUAGGCUACUGCUAAGCUGUAUGUUUCCUUUACUGUUGACCAGUGGUCUGUUUGUCAGUUUUAAUUAUUCUGUACUUGGAACUGCCUGAAAGUUUCAGAAUUAUUUUUGUUUGUCUUAUUUUACUUCAUAUAAAUCUACUUUAUAUGUUAGUUAUAUAUGGUACAUUAUUUUUCUAAUUGGAACAACUGUCAAAAUAAUUGGCAGUUUGUUUUUUAAAGUUUGUUUUAUAAAGUUUGUUUUAAAAUGAUGGCCACUUUUAAUGUUUAUGUACUAGAUCUUGUCCUUAUGUUUUUGUAAUUUUUAUCUGCUUUGUAACUGCUGCUUUGCUCAUUUGAAU